rnacentral:rRNA from 4 species
AAAAGUGGCGAUAGCAAAGAGGAUACACCUGUACCCAUACCGAACACAGAAGUUAAGCUCUUUAGCGUCGACUGUAGUUGGUCUUACGACCUGCGAGAUUAGAACGUUGCCAGGC